rnacentral:rRNA from 1 species
UACGGAGGGUGCAAGCGUUAAUCGGAAUUACUGGGCGUAAAGCGCACGCAGGUGGCUGAGUCAGUCGAUUGUGAAAGCCCUGGGCUUAACCUGGGAAUUGCAGUCGAUACUACUCAGCUAGAGUAUGGGAGAGGGCAGUGGAAUUCCCGGUGUAGCGGUGAAAUGCGUAGAUAUCGGGAGGAACAUCAGUGGCGAAGGCGGCUGCCUGGCCCCAAUACUGA